CGGAAUAGUAGUUUAACAAAAAUAUUAGCAUUGGAAGCUAAAGAUUAGGAAAAUCCUACUUUCUGA
rnacentral:tRNA from 1 species